rnacentral:rRNA from 1 species
CAGCAGCCGCGGUAACACGUAGGGUGCGAGCGUUAAUCGGAAUUACUGGGCGUAAAGCGUGCGCAGGCGGUUUUGUAAGACAGGCGUGAAAUCCCCGGGCUCAACCUGGGAAUGGCGCUUGUGACUGCAAAGCUAGAGUGCGGCAGAGGGGGAUGGAAUUCCGCGUGUAGCAGUGAAAUGCGUAGAUAUGCGGAGGAACACCGAUGGCGAAGGCAAUCCCCUGGGCCUGCACUGACGCUCAUGCACGAAAGCGUGGGGAGCAAACAGGAUUAGAUACCCGAGUAGUCCCUGUCUCUUAUAC